GGCGGACGGGUGAGUAACGCGUGAGAAUCUGCCUUCAGGACGGAGACAACAGUUGGAAACGACUGCUAAGCCCCGAUGAACCGAAAGGGAAAAUAUUUAUAGCCUGAAGAUGAGCUCGCGUCCGAUUAGCUAGUUGGGGGGGUAAAGGCCCACCAAGGCGACGAUCGGUAGCUGGUCUGAGAGGACGAUCAGCCACACUGGGACUGAGACACGGCCCAGACUCCUACGGGAGGCAGCAGUGGGGAAUUUUCCGCAAUGGGCGAAAGCCUGACGGAGCAAGACCGCGUGGGGGAAGAAGGCUCUUGGGUUGUAAACCCCUUUUCUCUGGGAAGAAAGUUGUGAAAGCAACCUGACGGUACCAGAGGAAUCAGCAUCGGCUAACUCCGUGCCAGCCGCCGCGG
rnacentral:rRNA from 1 species